rnacentral:rRNA from 1 species
UACAGAGGUCCCAAGCGUUGUUCGGAUUCACUGGGCGUAAAGGGUGCGUAGGUGGUCAGGUAAGUCGGAUGUGAAAUCUCCGAGCUCAACUCGGAAACUGCAUUGGAAACUACCUGGCUCGAGGGUUGGAGGGGGGACUGGAAUGCUUGGUGUAGCAGUGAAAUGCGUAGAGAUCAGGAGGAACACCGACGGCGCAGGCAGCGUCCUGGCCGCUUGCUGACACUGAGGCACGAAAGCUGGGGGAGCAAACAGG